rnacentral:rRNA from 1 species
UACGUAGGGUGCAAGCGUUAAUCGGAAUUACUGGGCGUAAAGCGUGCGCAGGCGGUCCGUUAAGACAGAUGUGAAAUCCCCGGGCUUAACCUGGGAACUGCAUUUGUGACUGGCGGACUCGAGUAUGGCAGAGGGGGGUAGAAUUCCGACGUGAUAGCAGUGAAAUGCGUAGAGAUGGUGGAGGAAUACCGAUGGCGAAGGCAGCCCCCUGGGCCAAUACUGACGCUCA